GCCACCGCAGCCCAGGGCGGCGCCGUUGUCUCUGGGCCGGCGCGGCCGCCGCGCUCGCCUCCUCGCUCGCCCACCGAGCGCUUCACCCAGGGGCGGGCCCGUGAGCAGCCCGGAGGCGGAGGCCGCGGCAUCGACGGUUUGAGCGCCGCCGCUGCAUUGGUGGACCGCAAAGGAAAGAGAAAGAUCGGAGAAGGAUCUUUUACAGUCUCUGAUGAUCGGGAACAGGCACGAAGGAAGGAGGAGAGGACAUCUGAUUCCCCCAAAGUGAAGCUUCUCAGGAGUAGCAUUCGUGCGUAUCAUGGCGACGCCGAGGAGAAGAAAAUUCCCAUGGGAGAAGCUGCAAAUCAUUAUUUCAGGAACAUUGAUAAUUCUUUCCAGCAACCGGAAGUUGGUUUGCGUUUAAAGUAUCUCAGCCAUCACUAUUCAGAAUUUAGGCCAGUACAUAGAGAUGAGGAAUGUUUCUAUAGGAGUUUCAUAUUUUCCUACCUGGCAUUUGAGAGGCUGAUAGAGAAAAUAAAGGGAUGGAAGCGCAUGCAGGAGCACCCAAUAUCAAUAAUCAGGGGGAAGAUUCUUGAGUUCUUCAGCAGUUAUGAUACAACAGAUGACAUUUUUGCUUUCCUCAGAUUAGUAGCAGCUACCUGGAUGUGCACGCGCAUAUGGAAUUAUGAAUGGUGUGCAACUAAUUGUGGAGAAAAUCAGAAUCUGGAAGAUUGGUGCUCGAAGCACGUAAUUGCUCCUCGUGUGUACGCAACCUCUGCUGCAGUAAAAGCUUGUGCAGAAGCUCUCAGGGUGACCGUCCAAGUGGAGAACGUUCAUGAUGGAACUUGCGAAAGUACGCACUACAUUGUCCGCGGCGCUCCUCGCGUGACCUUGCUGCGCAUAGAGUCUCACUAUGACAUCAUCUACCCACUCCCUCCUAGUUCUAUUAAUAGUUCAAAUCCACAUGAGGAGAAGUUACUCCCAAUCCCAAGUAGCAUUCUUGCGUAUGACAGGAGAAAGAUUUUCGAUAGAAAACAAAAGCAUCUGGACCGCUCCAAUCAAAAUACUAGAGCAAGCACCUCAAAAUCACCGCCUCAUGAGGAUCAAAAGCGUUCAGGUAGAAAAAGAAAGCGACCUGGCUGCUCCAAUCAAAAUCCUAGAGCAAGCAUGUCAAAAUCAUCGCUUCGCAAGGAUCAUAAGUCCUCAGCUCUUGCAACUUUAGUUGAUACUAGAAGAAGAACGAGGUUAACAGAUACUAUCAUUCCUCCUGGAUGCGGAAGGACAAGGAAAUAUGAAAUCACAAGAAUGAGCACUCGACUUGUGUUACGAAGAAGUGUUAGGUCCCUUUACAAGUUGCACAGUCAGUCAAACUCACUCGCUGGUCGAUUCUCAUUGAGAAAUUUUCUGAUAAGUGACGAGAUGACCAUUGAAAUGGAUGAGUUUCAAGCUGAUGAUUUAGACCCCUAUACAAAGGCCAAUGCAGAGGUUGACUUUUAUCAAUAUGUGAAGACUAUUGAAGAACUCUUUGAAUCUUUACCAGUUCCUGAAGAUAUUCACAGAUGGCUAAGUAUGAUUAUGAGAGAUCCAACUGCUUAUCAGUAUCUGAUAUGCUAUCACUACUGUUUGAUGGAAGAGCACCAAAUGAUGCAUGUCUUUACAUCAUUGUACAAUAAACUUCUAGUAUUGCCAACAACAGACCCAGCAGGAUACAAUUUUGUGCUUGAACGUCUCAAGAUAUUCUCUGGUUGGAGCCCGAUGGAUCUUCACAACGUUUAUUUCAUUGAGACCUUUUACUGGAAAGAUCCCAUCACGGGCGUACCAAUCAUCUACGGAGAUGAUGUUCUCUCCUUGCUGAGAUUGGUAAGAAAUACUUAUCAGCAUUUCAUGUCGAAGGUGGUAGAGGGCAGGAAACUACUCUUCUCUGAAAAAGAUUUCGGGAAUAUGGUCAACGAACAAUUUUCUGGGCUUCUUGAUGAACUUUUUGAAGCGAUGUUCAUUGCCACGUAUUAUGCUGACUUACAACUUGAGCAUACAAUGGUGUAAAUUGAUAAGGAGAAGAAGUGACCUGCUGCUGAUUUCUGACGGGCGUGAGCUAAACCAGUUAAGAGUACGCAUGGUGUAAAUGAUGAGAGAAGUGGACAGUAGCUGAUUGUUAACAGCCAAUGAGCUAAACAGAGCUGUGUUUUAGUUGAACCUGUGCAGUAACGAGAUCCUUAUUGUUUUUUUGUUAAAUGUGACAUGCUGUGCAUGUGGAAUUGUUCAGUAUGUGAGUUCAUCUAUAGUAUGAAAGUGUUCUUUGAUCUAACAUUAUCUGUGAGUUCUAAAAUCACUUCC
rnacentral:lncRNA from 2 species